CCGAGAGAGUCUGCGAAAGCAAAAAAAAAAAAAAGGAACGAUAGAGAAACUCAUAAAGUUUUGGAAUUAUAUGUCGGAUACGGAUCCCGAAUAAAAGCAUAAGCAUGUGACGCUAGCCCAAGGCAGCAUAAUGUCAUGACCGGUGCCGGAUCGCAUGGGUAGCGUGGCAACCACACCGAAGGACGGAUACACAACCUGGUAGUUUUUCCCUGUAACGACAGAAUGAGCCAAUGGAAUCCUUCGGGACAAGCCUACGUGCGCUAGAGUUGAGCCAAAGGGAAAAUGUAUAUGACAGUUUAUAAAAAGAAAAACAAAGAGAAG